CAAGUGACCCCGGUUUACCACCGGGAUGUUCAUAACCCUUUGUUGUCCGACUCUGUUGCCUCCGGGGCGACCCUGCCUUCGGGCGGGGGCUCCGGGUGGACACUUCAAAACUCUUGCGUAACUUUGCAGUCUGAGUAAACUUAAUUAAUAAAUUA
rnacentral:misc_RNA from 1 species